GCCCAGUAGGUGCUCAGGAUCCAGGGAGAGAGGCAGACUCAACAUGCAAACAACUCUUCUAUGAGGACAGGUUCUCACUCUGUCACUCAAGCUGGAGUUCAGUGGUGUGAUCACUGCUCACUGCAGCCUCAACCUCCUGGACUCAAGCAAUCCUCCUGCUUCAGCCUCCCAAGUAACUAAAACUACAGAAGUGUUUCACCACACUCAGCUAAUUUUUUAAUUCUUUUGCAGCAAUGGGGUCCCACUAUGUUGCCCAGUAUGGUCUUCAACCUCUGGGCUCAGGCAAUUCUCCACCUAGGCCUGUCAAAGUGUUGGGAUUACAGGUGUGAGCCCCUCUGCCUGGCCUUUUAGUCUUUUAUUGUUUUUAAUGUUUACCAUAUAUAUUAUAAUAUGCAUCCUUCACUGAUUAGAAUAUACUUUUAUUACUUUCACACUUCCUGAUCAAUGAAAGUGCCUGAAAAGUUCCACUCUGAUUUCUUGCACUAUCAAUAAUAUGGAUAUUAAUUUUACAUAUAAUUUGAACAUGUAUUAUUAUUGUUGUUAUUAUUAUGUUCUAACAUUUAAUAUUUGGUUUUGAUAUGCUCUGAUGUUUCUCCUUCCUUGUGCUUUGUAUCCUUCCUUUAUUAUUAUGCUUUGUUCAGGGAUUAUUUUCUUUCUGCCUAGAUAAUUAUCUUUGGCAUUUUAUUUAGAAAAAGUAUUAUGACCUCAGCUUCUCUGAACUUCUUGUUUCACCCCCCAAAAAGAAAAACAAAUAAAAAAAGGCCUUUAUUUAGCCUUCAUUUUUGAAGGAGAUCAUUUUCUAAAUAUAGAUUCAGGCAUUUUCUUUCAGCGCUGUAAGUGUUCUCUGUCUCCCAUUGUUUUAUUUCAAAAGUCAGCUCUUAAUCAUAUUAUUACUCAUUUGAAACUAAUGUGUCUUUUAUUUGCAUGCUUUUAAGAUUGUCAUUUGGCUUUAGUUUUUAGCAGUUUUAUAUAAUAGGUGUUAUUAUUUUGUUUUUAGCUGGGCUGUGAUUCAUAGAGCUUCUUGAAUGGCUCCAAAGACUUGAUGCUUUUCAUUAGUUUUGGGAAAUUCUUAGCCAACAUUUCUUCUCAUACUUCUAUUUUUUUCCUCUGUCAUUUCUCCUUUUUGGAAUCCAGUUACAAAUACAUGAACCUUUUUUUCAAUUAUGUUCCACAUAGCUCUUAUUUUAUAUUUCAUUUAAUUUACUUGCUUGCUUCAAACUGUAUAUUUUGUAUGUGUAUAAGUAUGUGAAUCUAUUGGUAAAUACUUUAUUUCUUCUACUGUGGUUAAUCAUUAAUCUACUAUUAAAGUCAUCUAUAUCUUAAUUUCAGUAUUUUGUAAGAUCCCUGAUUUCUAUUUGAUUUUUAAAUUAAAUUCCAAUUCUCUGAUGAAAAUAUUCCAUCUUUGUAUUUAUUUUUGGAACAUAUUAAGUUUAGUCCUGAUACCUCAGAUAUUUUGAUUUUCUGCUGCUCUACUUUUAAGUUUUUCUCUUACAUUUCUCAGUCAUUUGGUUCUAUUCUCUGGCAUAUCUGAUAAAUUUUGACUGAAUCCCAAAUGUAUAUGAAAAAUUGCUGGCAUUCUCAAUGAUAUCUUUCUUCUUGGGGGCUACUAAAAUACAUGCAGAUUACCUUGUUUCAGCAGAGGAUAUUCUGUUUCUAGUUUGCUUCUCACUCUAUAGUUGUUGCCUUUUCAGGGAUCCAACUAAAGGCCUGAGAUUUUUGUAAGUCCAUCUUUUUCCUCUUUUUUUUUUUUUUUUUUGUAGAAAUGGGGUUUCACUAUGUUGCU
rnacentral:lncRNA from 1 species